CGCGGGACUUGGCUGCUCGGCAGCUCGUGUUCCUACUUCCAGAAUAUUUAAAAGAUGCCUCAAAGAAGAUGAAGACUGGCCUCCUGUUUGUAAAACUGGUCAACCCGCGCUCAGGGGAAGGAAGCUUUUACUUAUUCGAUAUGUGUCUGCAGCAGCUAUUUGAAGUCAAAGUAUUCAAGGAAAAGCACCGUUCUUGGUUUAUAAAUCAAUCAGUUCAAUCAGGUAAGUGAUGUGUGUGUG